UUCUUACAAAGCUAAACAGAGUUUUACCACAUGAUCCAGCAAUUCACUCUGUGAUAUUUACCCAAAUGACUUAAAAUUUAUGCCCACACAGUGACCUGCAUAUGAACAUUUAUAGCAGCUGUAUUUAUAAUUGCCAAAAAAAUGGAAGCAACCAAGCUGUCUUUCAAUAAGUGAAUGAAUAAAUAGCCUGUUAUAUAUACAGGCAAUGGACUAUUAUUUAGCACUAAAGAGAAAGGAGUUAUCAAGCCAUAGAAGGACAUAGAUAAAACAGUCAAUCAGUAGAUCUGAAGAAAAUCCUACAGGGAGACCUAGCCUUCUCUGCCUUGAGGACACGUAGAUCUUUCUCCAGAAAAAGAUGAUCUCACAUCUGCAAUUGCGACCCUCUUCUGAUGCCUCUUGGAAGUGCAGACAUUCAACAAUUACAAUGCGGAUUACGUAAACCUAAAUGAAACCUUUUGAAAAACUUCUAAAAUAUAUUUCCAGGAGACAAUUAAGGGAAAGACAUAAUAAUCUCUUCAGCCCUGCCUACAGCCAGAAAGAUUUCCUUGAGUUUCUUUAUAGCCCUUUCUUAUGAUGUUCAUGGCGCUUCUCUUCUCUACAUCUGAAGCGUUCUUUAAUGUUUGCUCUUGUCUAUUUCUGUUGCUUCAAUGCCAUUUCAAACUACCCCUUCAUGUGAAUUACCACAAUAGCCUCUUAUUAGCCUCCAACUACUAGUCCCCUCAUACUGCUUUCAUUAAGUCAAGUGAAUAGUCUAAACAUUAGAAAAAAUAUCAAAAAUGAUAAGAUAAUUUCUGAUCGUAUCAUUCCACUACUGAAAUUGACUGGUCUAUUUAAUUAAACCUAUCUUCUCAGGUGGUCUUCAAA
rnacentral:lncRNA from 10 species